UGAGACAGCAGCUAUGGAAUCACCAGAAGGUGAAAGAUCUGAAAAAGUUUGGAGUGAUUUGAUUGAACAGACGAACGCAACACCGGUCAGUCUUUAGGUCCAGGUUGCAGGGACAGCAGUCCAAGUACAGACGCCCAUAAAUCACCCUCACCUUGUGGUAGGGGUUGUUGCAGCC